rnacentral:lncRNA from 1 species
GCAGACUGGAUUUUUGCCUGACUACGGUGCUCAGCCUUCUAGACAAUAGUUAUGCUAAGGGAUUAUCUUUUAACAUUGUGCAGUUAUCUCCUUUGUUUGUUUUCUUUUUUCAUUAUUCACAUAAGCCAAGGGAAAUGAAAAGCAUCUUAUUUCAGGCAAAAAGGCCUGUGAAUGAUUAACUCUGGUUCCAUGCGUUGGGACUUUGCAUAGCAACCCCGUGGCUUGCAACGACAAAAAAGCUCAAGGCAGGAACAGCAGCCCAGGGACCUGAGACCAGCGUUCUCAAAUGAAGGUGGUGAGAAACAGAUUAAAUCUGCUGUUAGAGGAGAAUUCUUCUGUCCUAGCUGUGUCUCUGUGAUCUGUGGAUGAGGGUGGGAAAGCACCACUCAGUCAAUUGGGGUGUACAAAAUGGAGUUUGAGAAGGUCUCACAUCCAGGUUGUUUUGAAGCAAAGUCCAAGCAUUGUAUCACUUCAUCUGCAAAUAUUUCAAUAAGUACCCAAAAGUAACCUCUUUACUCCUUUCCAUGAAGAUUUCCAUGCCUCAGAACAAAGUUGACCUCAUCUUGAAGACAGGAUAGAGGGGAGAUAAUGCCUGUCAACAUCUAUCACAAAAUGUUGCUCAACUUACUGAUGAAUUAAUAAAAAGUCAUCUGUACUCUCUUCUGAAGCCCAUCAUCUGCUCCUUGGUUGGACUGAGUCCCAUGAAGCCAGAUCACUUCUGACUGCAAGGAGCUUGGAAAAGCAAGUAUCUGGAUCUUUUACCAGCUAAAUUUGGAGGUCUGGAGAAGGAAAUGUACUGUUAUGACUAUAAAGACAUCCUGCUGAAUAUCCUGAUGCUUGGGAAAGUAAAACUCAAUAUAGAAAAAGCAUCACUAAUCAAAUCUACAAGAACUAUAAAAUGAGAAAAGAUUGAUGAAUAUUAAGUAGAAGAGUGAGAUGGUCAUCUUUGCAUUUAAAAAAGAUCAUUUGCUGUUGCUGUAUGGAAAAUGAAUUGGAGCAGGCGAUGAGGCUUCCUCUUUGAAGAUCACAGGUGAGAAGAUUAGGUGCUUUCUCAGAAGCCCAGCAACCUGAUGGGAGUGUGGAGUGAGCAAGACCCAAAUCGGAGCUUCAUCCCUGCAUGGUUCAUUUUGCUUAUUUGGCAAACUUGCCCUGCAGAAUCUACUCAAGCUUCCUCAGUUUCUCAAAUCAUUCUUGGGCAACAAAUGAACAAGAAAGAGGACGUCUUAUUAUCUGGUGUCUGGCUUGCUGAUUUAAUAACCUAGGAGACAGUGUUUGAAGAACACAAACUCUAAAGUCCUUCACUUAAAAAAAAAAAAAAACUUUCCCAAAUUGCUUACCAUUUGGAAAAAUUGCCUUACCUUCUUCAGUCAUCUCUGAUGUUGUCAUCCUCAGAGUAAGAAGUACGCAUUCAUAAGGAACCAUAACGUCCUUCAGGAAAUCCAGUACACCCUACAAUUUUACCUAAAACUUUGAUGUUGUUUUUUCUGAGCAUUUUACCUUCUAGGGAAAUGGAUCUCAUGCUGUUUAUCAGUUUCUGAAAGUUGUUAUUAAUCUCCCCUCAUCCCAAAAUUGAAGAACUUUGCUUAAAUCUUAGAAUCAGAACUUUGGCUCCAGUAAUAAAGACUUUUCAAUAUCUUUAUCUGCCAUUGAGUCUUACCUAACGAAAUAAAGCCUCCAAAGUGGGAAUUUGAAA